GCAAGGUCCCCUCAGAAUUGGCCUGGGGGGUUCUAGUGAGAUUUCUUCCCAUGCGGAGACUAAGACCACAGGUCACCCUCAGCUCCUACUCACCCUCAGUCCAACCCAGAACACCCCACCGUUGGCCCCAUCUCUGAGCUUUGGGCACUCCAGAGAACAAUGUAUUGGCUUCCUCAGUGAUGUGGCUUCUUCCACGGGAGAGCACUGAACUGUGAGCCACAGUGGCCCCAUCUGGUGGCUGUCCUGCCUACUUCCCAGCCUCGUGAUCUUGGGCAAGUCAAUUCCCAUCUCUGAGCCUCAAUUUCCUCAUCCCUCUCCUGGGCUGUGGUGGAGAUGACAGGGUCCAGUGGUCAGGAAGCAGGCUGACGGCUGCAAAAUAAUUUUGGCCAGAAACAAGAGGAGUCCUGUCCGAGGAGAGCCCGGCUGGCUGACUGGAAUCCCAAGACAUGCCAAGGUCCCUGGGAAAUGACAGGACACCCAGAUCUGCUGGGAGCAGAGUUCUCAUAGGGUCCCAGCUGAGCCCUGGAACUCCCCAGACCCCCUCUGCCACUCCAUCUCUGCGUCAGCCCAGCACCUGUGCCCUAUCCGGCUUUGGCCACCAUCUCCACCCUGGGGAGGGGGAGCAUAACCCCCUCCAGCCUGAGGUUGGCGCCAAGGUUUAGGAGCCAGCACAGAAGCCUCUGAGAGCCAUAAGGGUAGAAAAGGUUACCCGGUACUAAACCAGCCAGCCUCGGGGUGAUCUCAUCCACUUCCCAAGAUAAGCCCCCUCCCCCACCCUCUGGCCACUGGCCAACAGGGUAAGUCACGAGGGAGCUGGUGGAAGAGUGUGUGUGAGGGCUGGGGGAAGGAUUUCAACUUGGGGUCACACUGUACAUUCUGUUUUGUGAUCAAUUCCCCCCAACAUUUACAGUAUUGACAAUUAGCAGUUUCCUGUCAGAUAAACUAUAAAGAUCUUCCCCCAUCACUUUUUCUUUUCCUAAUUAUUUCUAAAGUCUGCCAGGAUGGACACAUCAGAAUCUCUUUGUCCAGCCCUUGAGGAGGACAUGUAAACAGUGUCCAGUUUCUCUUUCUUACAAACACCAGUGCCAUAACCAUUUUUGUUCAAAUCCUCUUACGCAAUUGCCUCUCUCUCUCUCUCCCUUUCUCUCUUUCUCUCUCCCUCUCUCUAUUUCUCACUCAGUUGAGAUAAAUUCUGCCUGGUAGCAGGUGGGAGGGCAGGCCUCACUGUGUGCCUGAGUAGUUCUGGGCCCUUCCCCAAGCCAGAGGUGCCAGGCCCAGGGCAGAGGCCAGUCCAGGGCCACAGGGUCAGGACAGUGGACAGGCUAUGGUCUGCUGGACUCUGCCUGCUCGAGGCGGGCUCCCCAAGCUUCCACCUGCUCUUGCCCACCCCCAGCCCCAAGGACUAGGCUGGCCUGGACACAGGGAAAGGCCAUAUACAGGGUAUCACAUGACCCAUGCGUGCACACAGCCCCCAAUCCCAGGCAUAGGCAGAGGUCCCAGCCUCAGGGUGGGGCCCCCACACUCCGUCCAAUUCACAUCUUGCCUAGUGCUCCCCAGCUCUUGCUAGAAUGCUUCCAUAGACCAACAGCUCACUCUCCCUCCUAAGUUGCUGCCCGGCCUUUGGGGAGCAGGUGGAGCACAUGCUUCUUAUCAAAUCAAUACCUAUUCGGUAGAAUCACAUGAUUGCUGAGGAAGGUUUGGAUUCAGACACCAGGGUUUCAAACUCGACUCUGCAUUUACUAUUUUUGUGACCUUGGGCACAACCUUUUACAUGCCCAGGCUCAGUUUCUUCAUCUGUAAAAUGGGUUAAUAAUACUUGAUCAUAGGGUUGCAUGAAGAUUAAAUGAGAUAAUACAUGUAAAGUGCUCAGCAAGGCUCACAGAUGUGACCUAGUUUAUGAUCACAAAUUAUCACAAAUUGAGUCCCUACUAUGUCCAGUUAACAGAGAGACUCCCUCACUGGAAGCAACUCAGAGUGGCUGAAGCACAGAAGUGGUAGAGGUAUGAGAUGGGGUUGAAGAGUGGGCAGGGCCAGGUCACACUCAGCCUUGCACAUCAUGAAGGGAUUGUGACAUUUUUCUGACUCCUUGGAAGCAGGGGAGGAUGGUGGGAGGCAGAAAUGGGAGGAUGUCACUGAAAGCUUUUAUUAUUUUUUUUAAUGAUUUGUUUGUUUGUUUGUUUGUUUGUUUUAGAGACAGGUCUCUAUUGCUCAGGCUGGAGUGCAGUGGCAUGAUCAUAGCUCACUGUAACCUCAAACUCCUGGGUUCAAGCGAUCCUUCUGCCUCAGCCUCCCAAGUGGCUGGAACUACAGGGGUGUGCGACCACUCCUGGCUCAUUUUGUUCAACAUUAUUUUGUUACAACAUUGAUGAAGAAAAAAAUCUAUUUCUGGCUGGGGCUACUGUCUGUGUGGAGUCUGUAGAGGACUUUCUCUGGGUACUCUGGUUUCUUCCCCCAUCCCAAAGAUGUGCAUGUUAGAUUAACUAGCUUGUCUGCAUGCUCCCAGUCUGCAUGAGUGUGAGUGUACUCAAGGCAAUGGCAUCCUGUCUAGGCCUGGUUCCCGCCUGGCGCCCUGAGCUGCUGGGAUAGGCUCCAGCCAUCCAUGACCUUGAACUGGAAUAACUGGAUAAAUAAUUCUAUUACUUGUUUUUAUUAAUCUUUCUUUCUUUCUUUUUUUUUUUUUUUUUUGAGAUGGAGUUUCACUCUUGUUGCCCACGCUGGAGUGCAAUGACACAAUCUUGGCUCACUGCAACCUCCGCCUCCUGGAUUCAAGAAAUUCUCCUGCCUCAGCCUCCUGAGCAGCUGGGAUUACAGGUGCCCACCACCAAGCCCGGCUAAUUUUUGUAUUUUUAGGAGAGACAGGGUUUCGCCAUGUUGGCCAGGCUGGUCUCAAAUCCCUGACCUCAGGUGAUCCACCUUCCCCAGCCUCCCAAAGUGCUGGGAUUACAGGUGUGAGCCACCACACCUGGCCUUGUUUCUAUUAGUCUUUCUUACACGUGUUUCAAUGUUUAAUAUGAGAAGCAUUUGGGUCUUUAUUUAGAAGUCUGAUGAUAUUUCUAUCACCAGAAAUAUGCUGUAGGAACUUAACUCUUGUUUAUGUCAAUUAGCCUAUGACAAAAUUGGUUUCCUUGUAUGUCAUUUUGCUUAAAGCUGCAAUUUCCAAGAACUACAUUAAGUGAGGACAUUAUAUAAAGACUUACUAUAUUCUAUUAGUUGUUGUCAGGCCUCUGAGCUCAAGCUAAGCCAUCAUAUCCCUUGUGACCUGCACCUAUACAUCCAGAUGGCCUGGAGCAACUGAAGAUCCAC
rnacentral:lncRNA from 10 species